GUUGCGUUCCAAGGAGCUACACACGACGCUCGCGGCUAAGAUCCAAGUUCUCAUUCUAAGGGCUUAAUCCAUUAAGUCCAACGUCCAGAACCCCAUAAUAGUCUCAUAACAGUGAAUUAACCCAUAAAGUCGAAGACUUUAAGCCUUUUCAUGGCUCAAAAGGUCUAAUCUUGAUAUCAAGUGUAAUGCCCGUGUUUCUGGGCUUGCCAUUUUUAGCAAUGUGAUAGUCUAGGUUAACCUUUGUAACCCCAAUUUGAAAUAAUAAAAAUGUAUUAUUUGUGAAUUAUGUGAUUUAUGUGUUUAUUUUCUUAAUUAUUAUAAUUUAAUGAAUUAAGAAUAAAAUAAGCGUCAAAAUUAAAGUGUGAGAUAAGCCCGAUAUCUUUGCAUAAAGUUGUAGUGGUUGAAACAAGGAUUCCGGAGAUAUAAGGAAUGCCAAAAUCCGAGUUAUAACGAAGAAGUUAUGACCUGUCGAAGUUUCGCGACAGAACCGGCACGACGUCGAGUGACGUAAAAUAUGAAUUUAAGAUAGAGCGAUAUUUAGCCUUAGCGAUCUAAACGAAAGUCGUAGAUUUCGUUAAACCGAGAGCGUGCAUAAAAGGAACGCCCAAAUCUGACUUCGUAUGAGGAAGUUAUGAUUUUUCUAAGUUUCGACUUAGCAGUAUGCAGCCCGAAUACUCGAUUUGAGAUCGAGCGGUUUUUAGCCGAAACAAUCUAAAUGAGAAUCGAAGAUCUCGUUGUUAGUAGCGAAACGAUGAAAAGUUAGGCGAGAACGGACGUCAGACGAAGAAGUUAUGAAUUUAUAACGAAGUUUUUCUGUCCCGGCCUUCUAAAAAUAAAUAAUAAAAAUAAAAGUCAAAAUUAGCCGACGGAGUCUAAAUGAAAGUUGUAGAGUAUGGUCUGACCUUCGCGUGGAUAUAAAGAACGUCGAAAACGGAGCUCGUAUGCGAAAGUUACGCAAUUUAGAAGUUCGACGAGUCAAUUACGCCCCGCGUAAUUGAGUACGCCCCGCGUACUCAGUCGGAUGCAACUUGUCUGACCAAUACUCGAGUGCCACAGAUCGACGCAUGCAGUGACGUCAAAGUACGCCCCGCGUAACCGAGUACGCCCCGCGUACUGAGUACGCCCUGCGUAAUUUGAGAUUACGCCCCGCGUAAUCCCAGACCCUCAGCCUAUAAAUAGAACUCGAAAUCAGCCAUUUUCUCUUGUUCAAACUCUUCCCUCUCUCUAAGUUUUGCCUCGAUUUGCGUGCCAAUCAUAUCCCGAAGCCCCGGUAUCAUUCCCGAGCCCCGAAGCAAGAUCCGAAGCCCCGAGGAUCCCGAAGAGCGUUAUUCCCGAGCCGAAGCUCUGCCCGCGAGGAGUUCGAUUUUGGUGAAGAUCUUCCAGAUCUAUCAAAGUAUACUACUUCUAUAAGCCGUAGUGCUGUCGGAUCAUCUUCUGAUCAAGUGAGUGUGUAGUUAUUUUCUUUCCAACGCAAUAUUAUGAAGUAUUUAAUAUAAAAUACGUGCUACGUGUAUAUAUUUUGUGGUUAUAUGUGUGAAUGUAUAUUCACUCUCUUCUAUCUCAUAGAUCUGAUAUAUUCUCUAUGAAAUACGUGUUAUGUGUGUAUGCCUCAUCUGUUAUGUGGAAUAUGUAUUGAUUAAAGCAUGCUAUACAGGUUUUUAAACAAUGUAUAAAAAUGUAUAUUUUUAUCUACUAAUAUGUUGGGUAGAACAUGGGUAGAUAAUUGGUGUGAAAUAAACAGAUGAGAGGCCUCGGUGUUAUUGGUGUUAUUCUAGUCAUUCAGCAGAGUAUGGAUGACGACCACAGACUAUUCUAGACUGUCCUGUGGAACACUAGCAGGCUCAUUACCUGUAGGUGUUGUGAACGACGUGUUCACCGGUGUACUCUAUCCCCCACAUGGUUGCCUUUAGGACACUUAUUGUUGAGGAAGCCCCUCUGCAGUAAUGUCCGUCCCGAUGAAAAUCCUGAAAUAAGUUCCUUAUAAUAGACGUUAUUUUUAGGAACGUAAGGUGAGGACAACGGGAAUGGGUAAUCGGGUUUAUUGUUGAUUGUUGUAAUUAAAUAUAAUUAUUGUGGGUUUGAAAACCCUAUAUGCUCACCAGGCUUCCAAGCCUGACCCACUCAGUUGAUUUGUAUUACAGGAAGUGGCGCAAGAGCUUAAGAUGGGCGAAUCAUCAAGUUGUUUUGUUUACAAGUCUGUAUAUGUAUAUAUUUGUUGAACGACUUGUGAUGUUAUCGUUUAUGCUUUAUGAUCUAUAUCGGAACAUGACAUCCCGACUUUUGAUUAUGAAAUGAAAUCAUAUUUCUAUAUGAAAUGUUUUGAUAAAUAUCUAUUUUAUCAUGUUUUGUUUUUGGGAACAAAUUCCGCAUCUCUUUUUAAAAUCAAACGGAUUUACUCUGAAAAUGUUUAAAAAGCAUAAAUGAAAUCGGUCUUUUCUGGCUGGGAUUUUGGGGAUGUCACAUCAAGCACUCAAACUUCACAAAAUAACAAUAACUCAAACAUGGGGGAACUUAAUGUAUCAGGACUCCAACUUUGUAUCAAAACCAACUCAGAAAAGGCAAGAUCUACAAAUCUUAGGCUCUUGGAGUGACUCAAACUAACAAAGAGCUCUCCAAGGACCAUAACAUGCAUACUUCAAGCCCUAACUUAGAUCUUAUGAUGUAGAAGCAUCAAGAUGAGAGCUUUAUACCUUUAGAUGCUAGAUCUACAUGAAUAAAGCUUAGAUCCAAAAGCUCCAAGCCAACCAAUGACUCUUCAAGAAGCUCAUUCUUCCUCCUUAAGCACUAAAACACACUUAAACCACUAUGAAGCUCAAGAAUCACUCAAAUGGAGGCUAGGGUUUCGUUCUUAGGGUUAUAGAGAAUAGAGGCCGAAGGAAAUGAGGGGUGAAGGUGAGUUAAGGUGUUUAAAUAGGGUCUAAGACCCUAAAUUAGGGUUUCCAUUUGAUCAUAAGAACGCCCUACGUUCCUUUGGGGAACGUCCUGCAUUUCCAAAUCCUCCCACGUCCGCAUUUACCAUGUACGCC
rnacentral:lncRNA from 1 species